rnacentral:rRNA from 1 species
GAUGAACGCUGGCGGCAUGCCUUACACAUGCAAGUCGAACGGCAGCACGGGAGCAAUCCUGGUGGCGAGUGGCGAACGGGUGAGUAAUAUAUCGGAACGUGCCCAGUCGUGGGGGAUAACGUAGCGAAAGCUACGCUAAUACCGCAUACGAUCUAUGGAUGAAAGCGGGGGAUCGCAAGACCUCGCGCGAUUGGAGCGGCCGAUAUCAGAUUAGGUAGUUGGUGAGGUAAAGGCUCACCAAGCCGACGAUCUGUAGCUGGUCUGAGAGGACGACCAGCCACACUGGGACUGAGACACGGCCCAGACUCCUACGGGAGGCAGCAGUGGGGAAUUUUGGACAAUGGGCGCAAGCCUGAUCCAGCAAUGCCGCGUGCAGGAUGAAGGCCUUCGGGUUGUAAACUGCUUUUGUACGGAACGAAACGGCGAGCUCUAAUACAGUUUGCUAAUGACGGUACCGUAAGAAUAAGCACCGGCUAACUACGUGCCAGCCGCCGCAGUAA